CCUUUACAUUUCCUUGUAUCAUAAUUUACUCGCUUGAGGGACAAUGGAGGUUGAAGAUCACAAACUGCUGGAGUGUAUCAAGACAGACCUGCCUACUGAGCCAGAGGAAUCUGAGGACAGUCACGCCCACCAGUGAAACUAACAUGUCUCUACUUAGCUGUAGGGUCAUAUUUCUUGAGAAAUUCAAUCAUCUAUUAAGCAACCAAGAAUUCAUCAACCAGCUUCUAACAUCUGAAUCUCUGUAAAGGUAGACUGAUGAUCCAUCAUUUGAACUGUUGGAUGUCAUGGGCUGACCUUGUUUUCUACUUUGAGUAAUAACAUUUGAUAUGAUCUGAUGUUGACUGCUCAAAAUGACCUGAAGGGACCUACACACCGAAAGAGUGAUGAAGCACCAUCCUGAUUGCUGCCUGCCCUUACCUUUGCCUGAAACUUGACUACAAUACUGGUUAUCCGUGCCAGCUCUCCAGAGUCCUUCUAAAUUCCGACUUCCAGGUCAGCAGUGUGGUCCUGACUCCUUACAGUUUGGAACUAAAAUCCUAAUUGUUAUUACCGUGUGUUUCUUUAAUCGAAGGUUUCCAGUAUAUUUAAAAAAUGGUGCCAGAUCCCAGACUGCUGUAAAGACAAUAUCUCUGAAACUUUCCUAUCUAGGAAAAAGGGUAACCUUGACUUUAUUACUUUGCCUAGACUUGUGGACUUUUUGUAUUUUUUUUUGUUUUAUUUUUUUAAUUUGGAUUUAUUGUUUGUUGUACUAUUGGGGAUGGGUUCUGGUGUGGAACACUCCUUCUAUGGUAGGGAUAAUUACUUUGCAUGUUGUAUCACCAGGAAGGCAUGAGAAAAGACAAGAUUAGGCCCAAAGCAUCUUUAUACCUCUUUA